UACGUAGGUGGCAAGCGUUAUCCGGAAUUAUUGGGCGUAAAGCGCGCGCAGGCGGUUUCUUAAGUCUGAUGUGAAAGCCCACGGCUCAACCGUGGAGGGUCAUUGGAAACUGGGGAACUUGAGUGCAGAGGAGAAAAGCGGAAUUCCACGUGUAGCGGUGAAAUGCGUAGAGAUGUGGAGGAACACCAGUGGCGAAGGCGGCUUUUUGGUCUGUAACUGACGCUGAGGCGCGAAAGCGUGGGGAGCAAACAGG
rnacentral:rRNA from 1 species